AAUGAACGCUGGCGGCGUGCCUAAUACAUGCAAGUCGAGCGAACGGACGAUAAGCUUUCUUCUCUGCUGUUAGCGGCGGACGGGUGAGUAACACGUACAUAACCUACCUAUAAGACUGGGAUAACUUCGGGAAACCUGAUCUAAUACCGGAUCAUAUUUUGAACCGCAUGGAUCAAAAGUGAAAGAGGCUCUUGCUGUCACUAAUAGAUGUUUCCGCGCUGCAUUAGCUAGUUGGUAAGGUAACGGCUAACCAAGGCAACGAUGCGUAGCCGAUCUGAGAGGGUGAUCAGCCACACUGGAACUGAGACACGGUCCAGACUCCUACGGGAGGCAGCAGUAGGGAAUAUUGGACAAUGGGCGAAAGCCUGAUCCAGCCAUGCCGCGUGAGUGAAGAAGGUCUUCGGAUUGUAAAGCUCUGUUAUUAGGGAAGAAAAUAAGUGAGUGAAUCCCUGGAUAUUUUGACGUUACCUAAAGAAAAAGCACCGGCUAACUUCGUG
rnacentral:rRNA from 1 species